rnacentral:lncRNA from 1 species
CUGGGACCGCCACUGUUUUACUGUGACAUAGGAGUAAAGCAGGUUGGGCUUCCAAGGAAAGAAGUACUCCUGAAGGUUACAACAGGGAGGAACAUGCUUGGCAAUUUGAGCCCCCCUUCCCGCAAGGGAUGAGUGCAAGCAGUAAUAGAUGCAUAUGUAGAUGCUUUUGAAGCUCCUGAUGUUGCCCGUCCACCGAAGAAAAAGAGGUCCCCAGAGGAAAAGAAAGCAAUCGAGAAAAGAAAUUACUGCAG